UACGAAGGGGGCUAGCGUUGCUCGGAAUCACUGGGCGUAAAGGGUGCGUAGGCGGGUAUUUAAGUCAGGGGUGAAAUCCUGGAGCUCAACUCCAGAACUGCCUUUGAUACUGAGUAUCUUGAGUACGGGAGAGGUGGAGUGGAACUGCGAGUGUAGAGGUGAAAUUCGUAGAUAUUCGCAAGAACACCAGUGGCGAAGGCGGCUCACUGGCCCGUUACUGACGCUGAGG
rnacentral:rRNA from 1 species